GGCGGUUCUUGGGUGACACACCCCAGAAUCAGGCGUCCUCCUCUCUGGUUCUGGGUGUGUCAGCCCAGAACCACA
rfam:Myotis brandtii contig246985, whole genome shotgun sequence.